rnacentral:rRNA from 1 species
UACGUAGGUGGCAAGCGUUGUUCGGAAUUAUUGGGCGUAAAGGGCGCGUAGGCGGUUUGUUAAGUCGGCUGUGAAAGCCCGGGGCUCAACCCCGGAGGGUCAGCCGAUACUGGCAGACUAGAGUACGGAAGAGGAGAGUGGAAUUCCUGGUGUAGCGGUGAAAUGCGCAGAUAUCAGGAAGAACACCUAUGGCGAAGGCAGCUCUCUGGGACGGUACUGACGCUGAGACGCGAAAGCGUGGGGAGCGAACAGG